AAAGUCGUAACAAGGUCUCCGUUGGUGAACCAGCGGAGGGAUCAUUACAGACUGACACCACCGUGUCGUGGCUCUGCCAACCCCGCGAACCUUAUACCUUUAAGUUGCCUCGGCGGGGUCUCCCCGCCAGUGGCCCGAAAACAAAAACGCUCCGAAAAGCUCCGCGCUCCUUCUGAACGAGAAAACACAAACGAGUAAAAACUUUUGGCAACGGAUCUCUUGGCUCUG
rnacentral:misc_RNA from 1 species